AGUGAACGCUGGCGGUAGGCCUAACACAUGCCAGUCGAACGGCAGCACAGUAAGAGCUUGCUCUUACGGGUGGCGAGUGGCGGACGGGUGAGGAAUACAUCGGAAUCUACUUUUUCGUGGGGGAUAACGUAGGGAAACUUACGCUAAUACCGCAUACGACCUACGGGUGAAAGCAGGGGAUCUUCGGACCUUGCGCGAUUGAAUGAGCCGAUGUCGGAUUAGCUAGUUGGCGGGGUAAAGGCCCACCAAGGCGACGAUCCGUAGCUGGUCUGAGAGGAUGAUCAGCCACACUGGAACUGAGACACGGUCCAGACGCCUACGGGAGGCAGCAGUGGGGAAUAUUGGACAAUGGGCGCAAGCCUGAUCCAGCCAUACCGCGUGGGUGAAGAAGGCCUUCGGGUUGGAAAGCCCUUUUGUUGGGAAAGAAAAGCAGCAGGGUAAUACCCCGCUGUUCUGACGGUACCCAAAGAAUAAGCACCGGCUAACUUCGUG
rnacentral:rRNA from 1 species